CUUCAAUGGAGGUGGUGUCUCACUUGGCCUUCCUCUUCGACAUUGCUCCAUAGAGCCAGCAAUGAACAAUGCAUGGACAAUGCUUUGAAAUCCAACUGAUUUUUGUAAUUGAAUCCAGACAUUCGAUACAGCAGCCAUGUCAAAUCAAAACAGCAGAAAAGUCACAUCAAGUUUAGUUGUGAUAGUACUGGAUCAUCAGACUGGAACCAAUGGUACAGAAUAAUUGAACUGGAACCAAUGACACUCGAUGAUCAGAUUGGAAUCCAUGGUACUGAACAAUCGGACUGGAACUGAUGAGCAAUGUUAUUCAAGGCAUCAACUGUCUCUCUGUGCAAUCCUUACAUCCCCCUUGGGGAGCGGUGAUAGAAGGAACAGAUCAGAUGACCGAUGCUAGGCCAGGGAUUUGCAAAGCAGAGAACAGCAGCGGAUUAGUGUGCAGAGUCAUGUGACAGCUGUAGAGCCUGUGGUUGGGGAAUCCAUGCAGAGGUGUAGCGUGGAGACAUGACACCUGGAGCAGGGUCAUGUCACGGCGCCCCCACUCAACACCAGUGACAUGCGGUGAGGUGAGGCAGAGCCUUUCCUGUCAUACUAACGUUUGUGCCAGAGUUUUGCACGUCCCUGCUCAACACCACCACCACCAUCACACGUACGUACGUACGUACGUACGUACGUACGUACGUACAUACGUACGUACAUAUAUAGAUUCACACCCAUUUAGGCACAGACAUACAUAAACACACACAUAUACACAGAUACAUGCACAUAUACACACACACACAUAAACACACAAAUAUACUCACAGACAUACAAAAAACACACACACAUAUAUAUAUAUACACACACAUAAAUAUAUACAGACAUAUACACACAGACAUAUAUGAACAUACACACAAACACACACAUACAUAUAUAUAUAUAUAUAUAUACAUAUAUAUACACACACAGACAUAUACACAUAAACACACAGUAUAAACAGACAUAAGCACACACACACACACACACACACACACACACACACACACACACACACAC